rnacentral:snRNA from 1 species
UAGCCGUGAGGUAAUCACAUAGCGAACUAUUCUUUCGCCUUUUACUAAAGAAUACCGUGUGAUUGCCUCAUUAUCAACGGUUUAUAAAUAUUUUUGGAGGGUUCUUCCUUGAAAAAGGAAA